AUUGCUUCUUGGUCUUUUGGCUAAGAUCAAGUAGUGUAUCUGUUAUCAAUUUAAUAUCUGAUACAUGCUCUAUCUGAGGGAAAUAUAUUAAAUAGGGUUUUGGAGCUGGGAGAUGGAAUAGGAGCUUUGUCUGUCCACUCCACGCAUUGACCUGGUAUUGCAGUACUUUUAGGAAUAGUGUACCCCCU